rnacentral:rRNA from 1 species
AAGGGCACUAAAGAAACUAGAAUAACGACGACUAAUUCGUCUGUAAAUAUAUUCCCGAAAAGUCGGAAGCUAAGCGAUAAUGGUUUUGUGAAAUCUUGUAUGAUGUCAAUUGGUAAAAGGAUUGGAGUUGGUUCAAUAUAUUUCUCUAAAUAG